CUCCUACGGGAGGCAGCAGUGGGGAAUCUUGCACAAUGGGGGAAACCCUGAUGCAGCGACGCCGCGUGAGCGAUGAAGCCCUUCGGGGUGUAAAGCUCUUUCGGCAGGGAAGAUUAUGACGGUACCUGCAGAAGCAGCUGCGGCUAACUACGUGCCAGCAGCCGCGGUAAUACGUAGGCAGCAAGCGUUGUUCGGAGUUACUGGGCGUAAAGGGUGCGUAGGCGGCCGUGUAAGUAUGGUGUGAAAUCUCCUGGCUCAACUGGGAGGGUGCGCUAUAAACUGCGUGGCUAGAGUGUGGGAGAGGAAAGUGGAAUUCCUGGUGUAGCGGUGAAAUGCGUAGAUAUCAGGAGGAACACCGGUGGUGUAAACGGCUUUCUGGACCAUAACUGACGCUGAGGCACGAAAGCGUGGGUAGCAAACAGGAUUAGAUACCCUGGUAGUCCACGCCCUAAACGAUGCAUAUUUGGUGUGGGCCAUUCAUUUGGUCCGUGCCGGAGCUAACGCGUUAAAU
rnacentral:rRNA from 1 species